GACGAACGCUGGCGGCGUGCUUAACACAUGCAAGUCGAACGGAAAGGCCCUGCUUUUGUGGGGUGCUCGAGUGGCGAACGGGUGAGUAACACGUGAGUAACCUGCCCUUGACUUUGGGAUAACUUCAGGAAACUGGGGCUAAUACCGGAUAGGAGCGCCUGCUGCAUGGUGGGGGUUGGAAAGUUUCGGCGGUUGGGGAUGGACUCGCGGCUUAUCAGCUUGUUGGUGGGGUAGUGGCUUACCAAGGCUUUGACGGGUAGCCGGCCUGAGAGGGUGACCGGCCACAUGGGGACUGAGAUACGGCCCAGACUCCUACGGGGGGCAGCAGUGGGGAAUAUUGCACAAGGGGCGGAAGCCUGAUGCAGCAACGCCGGGUGCGGGAUGACGGCCUUCGGGUGGGAAACCGAUUUCGCCUGUGACGAAGCGUGAGGGACGGGAAUGGAGAAAGAAGCACCGGCGAACUACGG
rnacentral:rRNA from 1 species